GAUCCUGGCUCAGGAUGAACGCUAGCUACAGGCUUAACACAUGCAAGUCGAGGGGAAACGACAUCGAAAGCUUGCUUCCGAUAGGCGUCGACCGGCGCACGGGCGAGUAACGCGUAUCCAACCUGCCCACCACUUGGGGAUAACCUUGCGAAAGUAAGACUAAUACCCAAUGAUAUCUCUAGAAGACAUCUGAAAGAGAUUAAAGAUUCAUCGGUGAUGGAUGGGGAUGCGU
rnacentral:rRNA from 1 species